CGAAAUUCGGCGCGCUUCGGCGCUGCCUUAUUCACCCACCCUUUGUCUACGUGUACCUCUAUAGCUUCCUCGGCGGGCUCGCCCGCCGCCAGGAACCCACAAAACCCCUUGCAUUAUACACGAAAACUUCUGAUAACAAACCUAAAUUAUCA
rnacentral:misc_RNA from 1 species